GCCCGGAUGGUGAAAUUGGUAUACACGCGAGACUUAAAAUCUCGUGAGCCUAAAACUCGUGCCGGUUCGACUCCGGCUCCGGGCACCA
rnacentral:tRNA from 1 species